AUUCUGAAAAGACAUAAAAACAUUAAACUUGAUAAUAAACAAGACAACAGAAAGAUGAAACACAAGGGAUUGUCAGCAGAUGGCAUCAUUGAUAGUCUCUCUUUUUUGUUCUUUUUUCUUUUUCCUUUUUUUUUGUUUUUUUUUUGUUUUUACUAAAAAUAAAGACUGAAAUAAAACAUACCGGAUGGGUUGCCUCCCAUCAAGCGCGUGUUUAACGUCCCGAGCUUGACGAUCUACCCACCAAUGUUAGGGUGGAUACUUGAUAGUUAUUUCAA
rnacentral:lncRNA from 1 species